AGUACGCCGGCAACGGUGAAACUCAAAGGAAUUGACGGGGGCCCGCACAAGCGGAGGAACAUGUGGUUUAAUUCGAUGAUACGCGAGGAACCUUACCCGGGAUUGAAAUGGAGAGGAAUGAGGGUGAAAGCCUUCAGUCAGCAAUGACCUCUUUGUAGGUGCUGCAUGGUUGUCGUCAGCUCGUGCCGUGGGGUGUCGGCUUAAGUGCCAUAACGAGCGCAACCCUGACUGCCAGUUGCCAGCAAGUAAAGUUGGGGACUCUGGCGGGACUGCCGGCGUAAGCUGUGAGGAAGGUUGGGAUGACGUCAAAUCAGCACGGCCCUUACAUCCGGGGCGACACACGUGUUACAAUGGUGGGGACAACGGGCAGCUACCGGGCGACCGGAUGCCAAUCUCCAAACCCCAUCUCAGUUCGGAUCGGAGUCUGCAACUCGACUCCGUGAAGCCGGAUUCGCUAGUAAUCGCGCAUCAGCCAUGGCGCGGUGAAUACGUUCCCGGGCCUUGUACACACCGCCCGUCAAGCCAUGGGAGCCGGGGGGACCUGAAGUACGUAACCGCAAGGAGCGUCCUAGGGUAAAACCGGUGACUGGGGCUAAGUCGUAACAAGGUAACCGUA
rnacentral:rRNA from 1 species